CCUACGGGGUGCUGCAGUGGGGAAUAUUGGACAAUGGGCGAAAGCCUGAUCCAGCCAUGCCGCGUGUGUGAAGAAGGCCUUCGGGUUGUAAAGCACUUUCAGUGGGGAAGAAAGCCUUGGGGCUAAUACCCUCGAGGAAGGACAUCACCCACAGAAGAAGCACCGGCUAACUCCGUGCCAGCAGCCGCGGUAAUACGGAGGGUGCGAGCGUUAAUCGGAAUUACUGGGCGUAAAGCGCGCGUAGGCGGUCUGAUAAGCCGGUUGUGAAAGCCCCGGGCUCAACCUGGGAACGGCAUCCGGAACUGUCAGGCUAGAGUGCAGGAGAGGAAGGUAGAAUUCCCGGUGUAGCGGUGAAAUGCGUAGAGAUCGGGAGGAAUACCAGUGGCGAAGGCGGCCUUCUGGACUGACACUGACGCUGAGGUGCGAAAGCGUGGGUAGCAAACAGGAUUAGAUACCCGUGUAGC
rnacentral:rRNA from 1 species